UUCUCUUUCUUUGGUGGCUGGUGACAAGUUUUAAGUAAAAGAAAUCCUAUUUUUUCUUUUAAAUGCACCUAGACUCUGUCGAGCGUGCCUAUGCGAGCCUCGCUACACCUAGGUGAUGUCCUAUGCCUUUAUCUCCUUCAAGUGCAACCACCUACGCCCCUUGCAUCCUGCACCUUAGGCGCGCCUAGCGCGCCUUUGAUAACAGUG
rnacentral:misc_RNA from 1 species